rnacentral:rRNA from 1 species
CCCGCUGAACUUAAGCAUAUCAAUAAGCGGAGGAAAAGAAACCAACAGGGAUUGCCUUAGUAACGGCGAGUGAAGCGGCAACAGCUCAAAUUUGAAAUCUGGCCUUCUGGUCUGAAUUGUAAUUUGUAGAGGAUGCUUUGAAUAUAGUCUUGGUCUAAGUUCCUUGGAACAGGACGUCAUAGAGGGUGAGAAUCCCGUAUGUGACCAGGCGUCUUUAUUCAUGUAAAGCUCCUUCAACGAGUCGAGUUGUUUGGGAAUGCAGCUCAAAAUGGGUGGUAAAUUUCAUCUAAAGCUAAAUACUGGCUAGAGACCGAUAGCGCACAAGUAGAGUGAUCGAAAGAUGAAAAGCACUUUGGAAAGAGAGUUAAAUAGUACGUGAAAUUGUUGAAAGGGAAGCGCUUGCAAUCAGACUUGCAUGCAGUAGAUCAUCCGAUCAAUCGCAUUCAGGCCAGCAUCGGUUUUAGUGGUUGGAUAAAGACCUUGGGAAUGUGGCUUCCUUCGGGGAGUGUUAUAGCCCAAGGUGCAAUGCAGCCUACCGGGACCGAGGACCGCGCUUCAGCUAGGAUGCUGGCAUAAUGGUUGUAAGCGACCCGUCUUGAAACACGG